UAGGGAAUAUUGGUAAUGGGCGAAAGCCUGAACCAGCAACGCCGCGUGUGCGAUGAAGGCCUUCGGGUUGUAAAGCACUUUUGACCGGGACGAGGAAGGACGGUACCGGUGGAGUAAGCCUCGGCUAACUACGUGCCAGCAGCCGCGGUAAAACGUAGGAGGCGAGCGUUAUCCGGAUUUACUGGGUGUAAAGCGCAUGCAGGCGGUUAGCUAAGUUGGGUGUGAAAGCUCCUGGCUCAACUGGGAGAGAUCGCUCAAGACUGGCUGACUCGAGGAUGGUAGGGGAAGGUGGAAUUCCGGGUGUAGUGGUGAAAUGCGUAGAUAUCCGGAGGAACACCAGUGGCGAAGGCGGCCUUCUGGACCAUCACUGACGCUCAGACGCGAAAGCUAGGGUAGCAAACGG
rnacentral:rRNA from 1 species